AGUGGCAGACGGGUGAGUAACGCGUGGGAACCUACCCAGUAGUACGGAACAACAGUUGGAAACGGCUGCUAAUACCGUAUACGCCCUUCGGGGGAAAGAUUUAUCGCUAUUGGAUGGGCCCGCGUUGGAUUAGCUUGUUGGUGGGGUAACGGCCUACCAAGGCGACGAUCCAUAGCUGGUCUGAGAGGAUGAUCAGCCACACUGGGACUUAGACACGGCCCAGACUCCUACGGGAGGCAGCAGUGGGGAAUAUUGCACAAUGGGCGCAAGCCUGAUGCAGCCAUGCCGCGUGAGUGAAGAAGGCCCUAGGGUUGUAAAGCUCUUUCGGCGGGGACGAUAAUGACGGUACCCGCAGAAGAAGCCCCGGCUAACUCCGUGCCAGCAGCCGCGGUAAUACGGAGGGGGCUAGCGU
rnacentral:rRNA from 1 species